CCUACGGGAGGCUGCAGUGGGGAAUAUUGGACAAUGGGGGGAACCCUGAUCCAGCCAUGCCGCGUGUGUGAAGAAGGCCCUCGGGUUGUAAAGCACUUUCAGUGAGGAAGAACGCCUAGUGGUUAAUACCCAUCAGGAAAGACAUCACUCACAGAAGAAGCACCGGCUAACUCCGUGCCAGCAGCCGCGGUAAUACGGAGGGUGCGAGCGUUAAUCGGAAUUACUGGGCGUAAAGCGCGCGUAGGUGGCUUGAUAAGCCGGUUGUGAAAGCCCCGGGCUCAACCUGGGAACGGCAUCCGGAACUGUCAAGCUAGAGUGCAGGAGAGGAAGGUAGAAUUCCCGGUGUAGCGGUGAAAUGCGUAGAGAUCGGGAGGAAUACCAGUGGCGAAGGCGGCCUUCUGGACUGACACUGACACUGAGGUGCGAAAGCGUGGGUAGCAAACAGGAUUAGAUACCCCAGUAGUC
rnacentral:rRNA from 1 species